rnacentral:misc_RNA from 1 species
GAUGAAGAACGUAGCGAAAUGCGAUAAGUAGUGUGAAUUGCAGAAUUCAGUGAAUCAUCGAAUCUUUGAACGCACAUUGCGCCCUUUGGUAUUCCUUAGGGCAUGCCUGUUCGAGCGUCAUUUCAACCCUCAAGCCCUGCUUGGUGUUGGGCGUUUGUCCUGCCUCCGCGCGGGACUCGCCUCAAAGACAUUGGCGGCCGGUUUCCCUUUGCAGGCCACGAGCGCAGCACAGCGAGCGCUCUACGUGGACGCGGGGUCGGCGAACCAGAAGCCCUCUUUCUCGAAUUUUGACCUCGGAUCAGGUAGGGAUACCCGCUGAACUUAAGCAUAUCAAUAAGCGGAGGA